UGUGAUUAUGAUGAAGCAUCUCACAGGAUGUCAUGAUUUCAUCUAUUAUUAUUUGCUAGCUUUCAGUUUUCAUUAUUUUGUUAAGUGUACUUUUGCCAUUAGAUUAUAGAAUUGGACUGUUAGCUGUUUAUUUUUCUACCUCUUUUCUUUUAACUAGUGAAGUGAGAAGCUUGUAUUUUGACAUUUUGCUGAAUCUCAUGUUCAAAUAUUACUAUAGGGAAGAGAACUGAAUAUUGCAGAGAAGACAAAUUACCUUGUUUUCAUGAUAAAUGCAUUUCAGUUAGAUUCCAGUGCAUGCUUGAACAAGGAGUUCAUGUAGUAUCUGGGAACCCUGGUCGAGUCUGUGACACGAUCAAAAGGAGAACAUUGUGCACGGGGGCUAUCAAGUUGUUAGUUCUGGAUGAAUCUGAUGAAAUGCUGAGCAGAGGGUUUAAAGAUCAAAUUUAUGAUGUGUACAGAUACCUCCCACCUAGUCUUCAGGUUGUCUUGAUUUCCGCUACUUUACCUCAUGAAGUACUGGAGAUGACAAAUAAGUUCAUGACAGAUCCUGUAAGGAUCCUUGUAAAACGUGAUGAAUUGACAUUGGAGUGCAUUAAGCAAUACUUUGUUGAGGUUGAGAGGGAGGAAUGAAAGUUUGAUACUCUGUGUGAUCUUUAUGAUAGACUUACUAUAGCUCAAGCUGUUAUAUUCUGCAACACCAAGCGAAAGUUAUUUUCAGAAAUCAGAAGCUACUAUUUUUAACUGCCAUAAACAUUGCUUAAGGAGCUAUUUUGAAGAUUGGCUUUUCAAACACGAGGAACACGGGAGGACUAGUGCUGUAGCAUGCCUGGGUAUGAUUUCACUCUGGGGUGUUGACUCUGGUCUGGCACAACUUCGCAAGUGCUUUCCCAUGAAAGAUGUGUAUGACAUGAAAUAAAUAAAUGAUUUUUUUGGUGGAUAUGCAGUAUAAAAGUCUCUUAGAACCUGAAUGUUUAUCAUCAUUGACACUUUCGACGCUUUCCGAACUGCCCAACAAGUGGUAUCAGAGUCAUGGUUAGACUCGUCAAAACCGCGAAAACAAUUGCUUCUCUAGGGCGUGGUAUUUUGGCCAUGGAUGAAUUCAAUGCUACAUGCGGAAAGCGGUUGGAUUCAAUUGGACUAGAGAACACUGAAGCUAACCGUCAAGCAUGUCGUAAAAUUAUAUAUGAAGAAAGUGUUAUGACUUUGUUAAAAUA